rnacentral:tRNA from 1 species
GAAGUUAUAGUCAAUAAACUGAUACCUGACCUGCAAUCAGGAGGAGCCCCCAGGGGGCUGACUUUA